rnacentral:tRNA from 1 species
GCCUGGGUGACUCAGUUGGUUAGAGUGUUGUCCUGUACACCAAAAGGUUGUGGGUUUGAUUCCCAGUCAAGGCG